rnacentral:tmRNA from 1 species
GGGGCUGAUCGGUUUCGACUUGGGACGUUUGUUCCAGGGGAAGCGGGUCGAGAAGCCAGCGUCAUCUCGUUAACGUUCGCUGGAAAACCAUAGUUGCCGACUCUAAGCGCAACGACUUCGCUCUCGCUGCCUGAGCAGUGAUCGAAGGGUCAGACCGGGCAUCCGCCUUCGUCCCGGACCCUGGCCUCAUUCAGAAGGCUUGCUGAUCAAUUCCUGUCAGGAGGAUUGAUCGGGACUUUUUCCUGACUGAGCCUGUCGGUGACGUGUCCGUGCGAGCACCGGGGCCGAGAAAACGCCAGCACUGACUGCACCCGGAGAAGACCUGGUUCGGCGCUCGAGGACGCGGGUUCGAUUCCCGCCAGCUCCACAC